UAGUUCGGGCAGGUAUAAAACGCGAGUUCGAUCUACAUUUUACUGACCACUUCUAGACAGAGGACCCGCUGGAAACAACGGAGCGUCAGCUAUUCCGUAGAAAGACAUGCAGCUGAAAGUGAUGAUUGUGGGCCUGGCCAUCUUUGGACUUAUUGUGGCAGAGAGCGGUGCCAUGCCUGCCGGCAGCGUCAGUGAAGCCGAGGCUAGGGCUGAUCCCGAGACUGCUGAGCGUGCCGAGCAGACCAACGUUGAAGAGGCACGCAUCAGUGAGGCAUGCCUUAAGUCCCUCUGCGGGUAGUUUCCUCACGGAAGAAGGUGGAACGUUUGAAAGAACGUGUCUUGUCAUAAAAGCAUGACCACCCCGCAAGACUUUGAAAGAUUUUGCAGUGCGCAACACCAGAUCUCAGUGUCGAAUAUGAGGCCGCUGCGGCUGACUGUUGCAUGGGUUUGCGCAAAUAAUAAAGCUACUUUCUAACAAGAAA